GUGCACAUUUAGGAACCUCAGGUGGUAAAAAUUAAAGCGGAAUCCCCCACUAUUGUGUGCCUCGUAAUCCGAUUGUGGUUUUGGCCCUAGAAUUUAAUUAAUUAAUCCUCUUACAGAGUUGGGUACAUGUGCACAGCCAAGGCUUCUCCACGUGGAUAGUAGUUCUGGAGUGUCCACAUUGGGCAACAGUAAAGCAGAUGGGGACAGAAGGAAGCAACAUGUCCAUUGCAGCACGCACACCACUGUGCUCAUCGCAUUGGCAAAAGCUGCGCAGACAGAGGCCUCAUGGCUGACCAAGGCCAGUGUGGAUGUUGCAGUUGGAACGUCGGAAAUCGGUUGUAAAGAUGUGUGCACGUCAACCUAAUUGGAUAUUGCCUGCCAAUGUGAAGGUGCACUGAUAGACAAAAGCCAUGGAUCUUGGAGACUUUCAGCGCAGUGCCUCUAAGUCUCUAGAACUGUCUAGUCUGCAGAAGUUUAAGGAGAGCUUAUGACAAAGUGUAACAAGACAUAAUUGUGCCAGCGACAAUUAUGUGGAGGAAACCAAGGCCGGUCCUCAAGAAUCAGUUUCUCUGAAGCCACUUAUCUGACAUGUGCAAGCCAUUGCAACGAGCUGACCUUCAGAAACAUAAUGCCCUAGAGGGGUUCUCAGAGGAGAACAUGGCUACCUGGUUUAUUGUGCUCGUGCUUCAGUUCUGCAUCACUGUUGACUCGAGCAAGGCAAUGAAAUAUCACCUUGCUAAGAUGCACCAAACCGAUGGCCUGUUCAUGUGACAACGCUGCUGCCACCUGGCCCUCGGCUAUUGCAUCACAUCAAGGCUGAUCAGUCAUGGUGAAGAUGUCGGAGAGCCUGCAAGUUAAGUUAGCCGACUCAAAAUUGGCUUCUUUUUUUGUAUGUGCACGGCUUGAAACCGGUGGAAAGGUAGGCAAACAUUUGUCCUUAUGCUCCAGAUUUUCCUUGAGCGAGUGCGACAUUUCAUAGUCAAGCUCAGUAAUACUCGUGCUUCUAGCAGCUUCAUUUCUUGUGAUAAAAACUGGACAUGCUCAUUUUGUGUAUAUAUCAUGUGUAUAUAUAGGUUCACAAGUCUUGCAAGACCGAGUACCUCGAAAAGUCGCGAAUGUUUUUUUUUUUUUGUACUUACCAUUAUAUUUAUGCACUAGGAUUCAUUUGUGGACAUCUUUCUGAAGUGCUCGAUGCUCAAGGAUGUCUUUCGAGUGUGCAUAUCUUUAAUGUUAUAUUCUGCACUGGCAAGAGCGCACUGCCUUUGUUACGUUUACUCCUUUUGCAAGGAAUGCAUAAAGUAAUUUAGAAACAACUUUUGAACACUGUAGUCGUUUUCAUACUGUGGAUUUAUACUGCCAUGUAUAUUUCUAUUUAUGCAGCGUUAAUAAACUUGAAGCCAUGUGGGAUUGCAAUGAAAUAAAGUUGUGUUGGCUUGGAA
rnacentral:lncRNA from 1 species